CCUACGGGGGGCUGCAGUGGGGAAUUUUCCACAAUGGGCGCAAGCCUGAUGGAGCAACGCCGCGUGUGUGAUGAAGGUCUUCGGAUCGUAAAGCACUUUCGACCGGGACGAAAAACCCAUUGCUAAUAACGAUGGGCCUGACGGUACCGGGAGAAGAAGCACCGGCUAACUCUGUGCCAGCAGCCGCGGUAAUACAGAGGGUGCAAGCGUUGUUCGGAAUUAUUGGGCGUAAAGCGCGUGUAGGCGGCUUAUCAAGUCAGAUGUGAAAGCCCUCGGCUCAACCGAGGAAGUGCGUCUGAAACUGGUGAGCUUGAGUGCCGGAGAGGGUAGCGGAAUUCCGCAAGUAGAGGUGAAAUUCGUAGAGAUGCGGAGGAACACCGGUGGCGAAGGCGGCUACCUGGACGGCAACUGACGCUGAGACGCGAAAGCGUGGGAAGCAAACAGGCUUAGAUACCCUGGUAGUC
rnacentral:rRNA from 1 species